rnacentral:lncRNA from 1 species
GAGAAGAAGAGACCAGUUUAAAAACAGACUGAAAGACUGCCAGAGUUCUGGUUGAAGCCCGUGAGGGUACUGCGUCUCAGAGCUUUUGAGAGUUCUGGUUGAAGCCUGUGAGGGUACUGCCUCUCAGAAUGCCUGUGCCAGAAGGUGGAGCGACCACGGACACUCCGAACCAACACAGUGGCCAUCAUUCAAAACGACACAAGAGAGCACAAGGGAGAAGCCAUGCAGAUAUUAAAUGGACCCCGUAACCAUCCAGCCUGCUUCAGGAGGCCGUCCUCUGCUGAAAGCAUGGAGAAGUGGGAAGGCACGGGAUGAUCACACAUCAUAUAGAUAUUUUGGUGUCUAACAGGCCUGGCUCAGACAGGGGACUGAUAGAGGGAGAGUGCCCGAAAUAUGUGCUGGCACUGAACUCUCCCUGUGAGGGCCAGAGCUGGACACUGAGGAGGGCGGCUGGAGCGGAAUAAAGCAGCCACACA